UCCCUUGGGGCUUAGCUGGUAAAGAAUCUGCCUGCAAUGCGGGAGACCUGGGUUCAAUCCCUGGCUCGGGAA
rnacentral:tRNA from 1 species